UCAGAGCCUCCAGUGAAAACACAUACAUAUAGAGAUAUAUCUAUAACAAUCAUAUACAUAUAUCAAUAUACAGUAUGCCUGUUUUCAUAAACAGCAUAUGGGGAAAAGAACUGAGCAGAAGGAAGACACCUUGAUUGUGAGAACAAAAGCAUUAGGAGGACUAAAGAACAACAGAUAUUCCUUUGAGAGAACAGAGCGGUGUAAAUCACUGAGAAUGACUUGUGGAAUCCCUCCAAACUCUAGCGUGAGGCAUCUCUUCCUCGCCGACAUCACGCAUUGUUUGGUGGGACAAAGAUCACGGAUAAGGCUUGAUUCCAACAGUGUCAUUUCUUCAGGCUUCUGAAUUGGAAUUCUACCAAGUGUUGUUUUUUUCUCGGGCCACGAAACAGUUUGUCACAUGGUGAGAUCCUUGAAUCUGGCGUUUUUCCAAAGGGGGGGAAUCUUGCUCGCUCUCACUCUCUCCCUGUAGUGAUGAGAACGGCGAGCACGUUGUGUGCUGAAGUGGCGUGGAAAACUCUCCGUCUCAUUCCCUGAUGAGGGCUGCUUUCCCUGUAUCAGCUUGCCAUUCUUUUAGGAGCCGGACAACGAGUCAGCAUUAAACCUGCUCUAAACUUGGAGACAGAUCACUUUGCUCAGCAAACUUGCUUUCUUGGUUCACAUUAACUAAACUCCACUGGUUUAAUUUUUCCCAGUGGUGCUGUUGCAUUCUGGGAUACGCAUUGUGGGAUUACUUAAAGAGGAUCAUGGCUGCCUCACACCUGUUUUUGAAUGUGUUUACUGCCAUUUUACUUUUGAGCUACGUUUCUCAAGGUCAAAAAUCCAACACUGCCAGCACAGGUGUGCAAGCCACCAAUCGGACGGCUGCUCCGUCUGGUGCCCCGGAGGUCACUCUUGCGACCCCGGGGUCAGACGCAGACGAAAUCCCGUCAGCUGGGAGCCGCUGUUGGGGUUACUAUGAUGUAAUGGGCCAAUGGGAUCCUCCGUUUAACUGUAAUGCAGGAAUAUACCUGUUCUGCUGUGGCUCCUGCUACUAUCGAUUUUGCUGCCAGUUCAAGGUUCACAGCCUGGACCAGACAUCUUGUUCCAAUUACGACACACCGGUGUGGGCCAACACAGGCAAGCCGGCGGCUCCGGUGACCGAUGUCCAGGAGGAACCGGAUCGAGACCGCACUCACAUGAUUGUGUACAUAAUAUGUGGAGUGGUGGCCAUCAUGGUGCUGGUUGGGAUCUUCACCAAAUUGGGCCUGGAAAAAAGUCAAGGAGGACAGACGGACAUGACAAACUCCAGGGCCCUGACGGAACUGCUGAAACAGCCAGGUGAGCCCGGGGGUGUGGACCGAGGAGGAGGCCACCACCCUAUGGGAUCUAACGGCAUCUCUGGCAGGUCAAUGCGCACCAACAACGAGCAUAACCACCUGAAUAAUGUCACGCAUCCUACUUUGAGUCCCGUAAUGACUCUGUCCCAGCCUCACAACAACAUGGGCUUCAACAAAUACUCCUCUCUCAAGACCAUGGAUACUACAGCAAGGGAUUACUACCCCAAGAGCUACCCUAUGAUGGAUUACGCACACCGCCAAUCCUCGCCAGCAACCUUCCAGCCCAUUGCUUUCCACCUAAAAGAUAAACACUUUCUUCCCCCUCCGGACAUCCAAGCUCCUUUGGCCAUUACCAUUACAUCAGCUCAAGUCCCCAAGUCCAAGAUCUCCAAGACUAACACCCACCCACUCACCUCGAGCUCAGCCUUCAAAGUUUGGGACCCCAACAAGAGCCAUGUCCAACACCAGGUCCCUUUCAUGAUGCAGCCACAGCCACCACUGUCCCAACCAAACAGUCGGCGCCAGGCCUUCUCCAACAGGCGUCAGUUUAGCAUCGAGACUCUUCCAGAGUUGUUCACUCAGCCUCUGGGGUACGGACAGUCUCCGCACCUUCACCCAAAACACAAGGGACUGCCCACAAACAGCAAAACAGAAGUGACGGUCUGAGGGGAAAGCCUGAAAAGGAUGCAAACACAAGAAAGCAUGAUUACGAUUAGACAACCGGAUUUGAAAGCUUCUGCACAUGUGCUUCAGUUAUAUUUAUAGUAUAUUUCUUCCUUGUAUUCGUUUUGGACUAGAUUUAUUUUCAUUGUACAACAAUACACAGAACUGAAGGGGAAAACGUUGCAUGGUCUUGAUUCCGAUUCUUCAUGGGCCUUGAAUCCCUGGUGAUCCUACCUCCCCCCUAAAAUUCUAGCCUGUUGUUCUUGUACUGCUGGCCUUCAGAUGUCUCUUGUGGACCAGACCCAUGUGUCCGAUAGCAAAGGGCAGGAGCCUUCACACCCUUCUGGAUAAGUCCAUUGUGCUGUCAACUUCCAUCAGCCAAGAGCUACCACACAGUGAAAUAUUUUUUCGACAAUUCUAGACCACUGAGGAUAAAGAACAGCGAGGAAGCAUACGGAAGAGGACAGUGAAGAAACCAAGGUGCCCUGUGAGAGGGAAAGAGACUUUCAAGUGUUGUAAUGUUUUAAGAGUUUGUUAUUUCAGUCAGCGGAUAAGGGUCUAGGUGAAUUUGGCAAAGUCCAAUGUCCCUAGGACUCUUUACCUCAACACCUUCAUCAAAGGAUGCAUUCCAGCAAUUAUCCAGGGAGCGGACUGCCAAUAUCACUUCAAGUCAUAGCUAUUCUGGCUGUUUCUAUUUCAAACUCUUGUUUGAGACACAGCACAGGUAAAGACAAGGUCGAUAAGCAAGUCUCUAUUACAGACAGACCACAAGAGAGACAUUUCAGGGGACGACAGUCGCCUGCAGAGAUGAGGUGCCAUAGUGACGGAGGAGCACACGUCUAGGUGAACAAAUCCGGCAGUGUCAUAAGUAGCACUGCCAAAACAACUUUGCUAAAUUGACCCAUGUGUAUUCUUUGCAAUAUCUGUCAAACAGCCUGCUUCCUUUGAAUACUUCUGAAUGUAGAUAAUUAUCCUUUUCGUGAAAGCAAGAACCUAUUAGAUUGAUGAUUCGGUGGCAAAAUCUAGCAUUUUGCAGCAAUACCUACACCCUAUUGUAGCAUCCUAAUGCACAUGGCAUGGGAAACCACUAAAUCUGGUGGUGGGCAUCAGUUGAAGUGAAGUUGUGGGCAUCACGUGAAGGUCUGAGAGUUUAGGUGUCUUGGGAGUUGCUCAAGAGACCAACGAAAAUGGUAGCAGUACUAGGCCUGUCUGUCCUGUCCAAAUGACUGAUGGACACAGCUGUCAAACUCACUCACUCCCUGCUGUUCCAAGCUGUUUCCAGCCAGGCGUUUGGCUGCCACACUGCCACAGAACACCAGGGGGCGCUGUAAUUGAUGACGGCUUGGUUCUAAUUCAACAGAUCCAAAAUAUGUUCUCCCAAACUGCCUGUAGACGUUUUUUUUUUUUCUCGUCUGUCUUAUCUUUUUUCAUUCACAAUGGAUCCGAAUGGAGAUAUAUGGUUCUUGCUCAAAGACAAAAGGCGAGACUACAAUACAAAAUUUAGAUUUUUUUUUUAAUGCACCAAUUUAAAGGAAACCUGCAGAGAUGUCUGAUGGUGACCUCUUGCUUCUUUACACAACAAUAAAGCAUCUGUUUACCAAGCAAACAGUUGUGUCUAAAAAGUAGCACACUUUGUUUGAACAGCCUUGUGAGUUUUUACGGGCCAAUGACAUCUAAUGUACAAGCCACCUAGGGACUAUAAAAGAGUGUGAAAUGUUCAAUGGAACUGCUGCUUAGGGCUGCUGGCAAAUAAAACGCCAGUAUUGCAAGAGGCAGAGAAGGAUUAUUGAACUCGGAAGGAAGAGGCAACACAAUUGUAAAGCUUCAUUUUGGAGAUAAUUUCUACUUCUGGACCAACUCCAGGGACAGCAGUUCCAAAAAUGUGACAACAAAUACAGUUACAGCAUGUUCCUGGAUGGCUAUUUUCAACCGUUGAAUUGAUGUGAGGAUGUAUCAACAUGCUCUCAUGGGUCUGCAUCGAGUCAAAUUAUCCUGAGCUACAGUGAUGCUUCGUUCUGUUUCAGUGGCAAUGGCUCCAGGGUGUCAUUGGGUUUCAGGGGUAAACCCUGGAGGACAGACACGGCUGUCAGACUCUCCUGGCACAGAGAUGUCAAGCGAUGCCAAGGUGAGCCAGUUACACAGCCCUCUGCCUGAAAUGGAGCCACUUUGUCAGCCAGGAGGUCAUGAAGUCUGUCUAUGAGUAAUGCCGGAAAAGAGCAGAGCAGGGUAGAUUUAGCUUUUAACAAAACCACAGUGAUAAGGUCUCUGGCUGUAUCAGCUUAAACCCUGAAUCAAAUGAGGACUAACGUCUGGAAAUAAACUUUUUAUUUGACAUUAACUCAAUAAAGCACUGGAUUGGUCAAUUAACUACUUAAUUCCACAGGUUAAGGACGAUAAAGGGAAAUCAAAAGAGGUUGAGUGCAUUCAUCUGUUACAAAGAAACACAAGGUGUAAAUAUCUGCUUUCGAAUUCCUUCGGUGUGAAGACUCAUUUCCAGUGGUUAUUUUAAACCACCGAAAUAAGCUGAAUGACUGUUAUUUCUGACUUCUUAAAAUGAAAGUGUUCUACCUGUGAUGUGAAUGCCACUGGGUAGCAUUUUAUCUUUAGCAAUACAUGAUGUACUUUUUACUGUUUAUGUACUAUUUGCAAUUUCGUCUUUUUUGUAUCGUAAGCGUAACUGGAAUCAAAGUUGAGCCUGCCGCAGGCGACAACCAUUUGACGGAGAUGAAGUGCUUCCGAAUUUUAACACCCUUCUCACCUUCCUUACUAACUUAAAAUGAUGUCUUGCCAUAUUUAAAGCUUGCGCUAUAUGUAUAAACCAAUGCUUUAUUUAAUAAUUUUUAAAAGACAUAUUAUAACCAAUGCUUGAAUGGCAUGUUAGUUGCCAGUCCAGAGACAUGUAAUAUGUAUAUUGGAGAAUCACAUUGUUCCCAUUUGUUUGGUGGCUCCAUUCGUUUGGUAGUACGUUUGACCGAUCUAAUCUUAUGCACUAUUCUAAGCUGUACCUUUUGUGUAUGUAUAAUUAGGAUGAAUUCUACUAAGGGCUUUUAAAGAUGUACGUGCUCUUAACAGGAGUUGCCCCGUGUCGAACAUGGAAAGGGUUUUCCCCACUGCAAUGACAGGGAGUACAGUUGCUUGUGUCAGAGUGAACAAAGUUUACUAGGAUAAACUAUAGCAGAAUACAUGUAAGGGUUUGCGAAAGCGAUGCUCCGUCCUGCAAUCAAAAGUCAGGGAAAUUUUUUGCUUUUGCUACAACACACUCUUGGUUUGUGUAUUACUGUCCAUUACAAAGCAAAAAAGAUGUUCCCUCCUUGAGAAAACAGGUUUUCUUGUUUGAACCCUGAAAAGAUAUGCAAAAACGUGUUAAGGACAUAUGAGAGCUCAUUAAAGAAACAAACAAAAAAAAAGACAACUGCUCUAAGUUUGAACUUACCAGCAUUAAAGGAAAUCCAAAGCCAGCUACAGCAAUGCAGGUUGAUCCUAAUUAAAAGUCACUGGUUACAUAAUUGAUAAAGAGAACGACAGGAAGACUAAUUAGGCUUGUCUGUUGACUUAAACAAGGCCAGAUUUUUACAGCAACACUAGCAUUGAGAAAUAUCUCCUGUCACAUUUGUGUUUACUGAUGUUUACUGAUUAUAUAUGCCUGUUUAUUCAUACAUCAGGGUUAAAAGAGCAAAAGUUAAAUAUAUAAAUAUUGUGUAAAAAUGUAUGUAUAUGAUGUGAAAAUAAAGCAGCAUUAGUUCACAGCCUUUCACAAAUACACACACACUAAAACUGAGGAUUUAACAUUGUAAACAGUGUUUUGUGUAAGUUUCCCAAAGGCUUUUCUGAAUGCAGCCAGCUCACGUUACCCUGUGUCCUAACUACGUGUGAUGCGACACAUUUCCAAGUAAUUUAUUUGUCCAAAACGCCAUGUAAACACAGCAGUGACAUCCUGGUUUCUGGAAAUAUUAUUUCCAAAUGGUAAAAUAAAAACUAAAUAAAAAAAAGAAUUGAACCAAAUGGCUCUGAGAUAAAUCAUUCAGUCAACAUUUAAUAUGAAGCUAAAAAUUAUUUAAAAUUUUAAAAUGGAGAAAAAGAGGCUAUACUUUCUUUUGAAGUGAUUAAGUUCUCAUACCAAGAAGCAUUGCAAAUGAUGUAAUAAAAGCAGCAAUCAGCAAACAGUAUAGAAAUGUACUUCCUGUUGCGCUCUAGCAGGAUUUUGGACCAGUAAGAUUUAACUGUGGGCGGGGCUACCCAACACAGUGCUAUAACAGAAGUCAUGCCUGGUUAGGACACAGUUGUUCACUUGCUGAGAUAUAAAAUAGCCCUGUGUACCCUUUCCCCCCUUUUAUGCACAGCUCUAUGUCAUCAGCAUUCACUCUCUCUUUUUUCCACAUCCUAGCUUCCUCUUCUGACUCUUCAAGGCAAUGCAUGUUCACACUGACUGUGAUUAAACUGUUGGCGGUCAGAGUCUGCAUUCUUAAUGGUAGUUGCCAUAUUACAUGGUUUAUUUACAUAACAUUGACCUGUACGUUACCUUAACUUUGUUGCAUCAAUAGUUGUUGUCAUUUGUGCCACCCAGAAAUAAAAAGGAAAAAAGCACUGUCAGUGUGUACGUCCAGUCACCUUUCAUCUUUAUCGUCUUCAAACUGACAUAAAUGUACACACAGGGCCUGUAGAGGGGUGUAAGUAGUACUGAAAAAGUAUACUUUAAUAUGGGUAUUGUAAGAACAUUUUACUUCAUUAGCCAAAAUAUACUUUAAAAUAUACUCAAGGGAAAGAAAAAAAUCUGUAUUU